AUCUUCUGUAAGACCCCUGAAGGGAGACCCUCACUCAAAUCUCGGGAAUAGCAUGCACCCACUGAGGCACCGAGACCG
rnacentral:pre_miRNA from 11 species